UACAGAGGGGGCGAGCGUUAUUCGGAAUUAUUGGGCGUAAAGGGCGCGUAGGCGGCUUGACAAGUCUCAGGUGAAAUCCCUCGGCUCAACCGAGGAACUGCCUUGGAAACUGUCUGGCUCGAGGCCGGGAGAGGGUAGUGGAAUUCCCAGUGUAGCGGUGAAAUGCGUAGAUAUUGGGAGGAACACCGGUGGCGAAGGCGGCUACCUGGACCGGAUCUGACGCUGAUGCGCGAAAGCGUGGGGAGCAAACAGG
rnacentral:rRNA from 1 species